UGGGGAAUUUUGGACAAUGGGCGAAAGCCUGAUCCAGCAAUGCCGCGUGUGUGAAGAAGGCCUUCGGGUUGUAAAGCACUUUUGUCCGGAAAGAAAUCCUUGGCUCUAAUACAGUCGGGGGAUGACGGUACCGGAAGAAUAAGCACCGGCUAACUACGUGCCAGCAGCCGCGGUAAUACGUAGGGUGCAAGCGUUAAUCGGAAUUACUGGGCGUAAAGCGUGCGCAGGCGGUUUGCUAAGACCGAUGUGAAAUCCCCGGGCUCAACCUGGGAACUGCAUUGGUGACUGGCAGGCUAGAGUAUGGCAGAGGGGGGUAGAAUUCCACGUGUAGCAGUGAAAUGCGUAGAGAUGUGGAGGAAUACCGAUGGCGAAGGCAGCCCCCUGGGCCAAUACUGACGCUCAUGCACGAAAGCGUGGGGAGCAAACAGGAUUAGAUACCCUGGUAGUCCACGCCCUAAACGAUGUCAACUAGUUGUUGGGGAUUCAUUUCCUUAGUAACGUAGCUAACGCGUGAAGUUGAUCGCCUGGGGAGUACGGUCGCAAGAUUAAAACUCAAAGGAAUUGACGGGGUCAUAGCUGUUUCC
rnacentral:rRNA from 1 species